AUAAGUCGGUAGACUCGUUCUAGCGUAUAUUAGUUCCUCUGCGCCCGUGGAGUCGGUGCCGAGUCUCGGCUCGCACAGAAGAGAGGAAGAGCUCGGGGCCGACUUCGCCCCCGCGCGCUUUUUUCCCGAGAGAUGCGGCUGCCCCCGAUCCGCUUCCGCGCGGCGAGCACCGCGGCGCCGGUCCUCGCCGCGAACACGCGCAUCGCUCGGCUCGCGCGCGGGGGCGACAUCGCGGGCGCCCGCAAGGUGUUCGACUCCAUGACCGAGCGCAACGUCGCCUCCUACAACUCCCUCAUCUCCGGGUACUUCCUCAACCGAGACCCCUCCCUCGCCCUCGCGCUCUUCCACCGCAUGCCCCUCCGCACCUCCGCCUCCUACAAUGCCGCCAUCUCCGGCCUCGCCCGCAACCGCCGCCUACCCGACGCCCGCGCCCUCUUCGACUCCAUGCCCCUCCCCCUCCGCAACGUCGUCUCCUACACCUCCCUCCUCCACGGCUACGUCCGGGAGGGCCUCCUCCCCGAGGCCGAGUCCCUCUUCGCCCUCAUGCCCGAGCGCAACGUGGUCUCGUGGACCGUCAUGGUCGAGGGCCUCGUCCGCGCGGGGCGCGUCGACGACGCGCGGAGGCUGUUCGACGAAAUGCCCGAGAAGGACGUGGUCGCGCGCACCGCCAUGAUCCACGGCUACUGCAGCUGCGGCCGCACCGCGGAGGCGCGGGCGCUCUUCGACGCGAUGCCCAAGCGAAACGUCGUUUCCUGGACGGCGAUGAUCUCAGGCUACGUCCACAACAACCAGGUCGACCUCGCGCGUAAGCUGUUCGAGGUAAUGCCCGAGCGAAACGAGGUCUCGUGGACCGCCAUGCUCACCGGUUACACCCAAUCGGGGCGCAUAGACGAGGCCGCGGACCUAUUCUGUGCGAUGCCGGAGCACCCGCUGGUCGCGUGCAACGCCAUGAUCCUAGGGUUCGCCCAGCACCGCAUGGUGGCGCGCGCGAGGGAGGUGUUCUACGAAAUGCCGCACAGGGAUGAGGGCACAUGGAGUGCGAUAGUGAAGGCGUACGAGAUGAACGGUCUUGAGUUGGACGCGCUCAGUGCGUUUCGGUCCAUGCAGAUGAAUCUCGUCCGGCCAAAUUUCCCUGCAAUAAUCAGCGUCCUCACGGUGUGUGCCAGCCUCGCGGUGCUUAACCACGGGAGGGAGGUGCAUGCCGCCAUGCUGCGGUCAUUUUUUGAUGAUGACGUGUUUGCAGCAUCGGCUCUGAUCACCAUGUACAUUAAGUGCGGCAAUUUAUCAAAUGCUAAGAGGGUGUUCGACACCUUUGGUCAGAAGGACGUAGUUAUGUGGAAUUCCAUGAUCACAGGAUAUGCUCAACAUGGUUUAGGGGAAGAAGCUUUAGCUAUUUUCGACAAUAUGAGGUCCUUACAAAUGGUGCCAGAUGAGAUUACUUAUAUUGGGGUUCUCUCUGCUUGUAGCUACACAGGGAAGGUUAAAGAAGGGCGCAAGAUUUUCCACUCGAUGAGCUUGAACUCUUCAAUCAAACCUAAAGCCGAACACUAUGCCUGCAUGGUUGAUCUUCUUGGUCGUGCUGGCCACGUAGAAGAAGCAAUGGAUUUGAUUAGGAAUAUGACAGUUGAGGCUGAUUCAGUAGUUUGGGGUGCAUUAUUGGGCGCAUGCAGGACCCACAUGAAUCACGAGAUAGCGGAGAUUGCCGCCAAGAAGCUUUUGCAAUUAGAACCUGGAAAUGCAGGGCCCUACAUAUUGCUCUCCAAUAUUUAUGCUUCAAGUGGGAGGUGGAGAGAAGUUACUAAUUUAAGGAAAGUGAUGAGCUCAAGGAAUGUGAGCAAGUCACCAGGUUGUAGUUGGAUUGAAUACAACAAGACGGUGCACAUGUUCACUUGUGGUGAUAUAUUGUCACACCCUGAAAAUUCUAUUAUUAUUAAGAUGUUGGAAAAAUUAGACAGGUUGUUGAAGGAGGCUGGGUACACUCCUGAUGGCAGUUUUGUGCUUCAUGAUGUUGAUGAGGAGCAGAAAGCGCAUAACUUGCUGUAUCAUACCGAGAGGCAGGCUGUGGCAUUCGGGAUUCUGAAGAUUCCGAAAGGUGUGCCUAUCCGGGUAAUGAAGAAUUUACGGGUGUGUGGGGAUUGCCAUUCCACAAUAAAGUUGAUUGCGAAGAUCACAGGAAGAGAGAUUGUUUUGAGGGAUGCUAAUAGGUUCCAUCAUUUUAAGGAUGGGGUGUGCUCCUGCAGGGAUUAUUGGUGAGAUUGAAGGUGCAGGGGAUACAAAUUGCCUGGAUUAUUGGCUCGGUCGAAAGCAUCCACUACGUCUUCCUCUCAAGAGUAAUUGGCUCAAAGUUAUUCCUGAAUUGACCAAGUAUUUAGAAGGCUUCCAUGGCUGCAGUCAUAGAUAAUUGAGAAGGGCAACAACACUUGUCUAUCCUUCUCAAAGCAGACACAAUUUUACCUCAUUCUCAUCGUAAUCGAACUCAGUAUUUAUGCAUCAAAUCUCCAUCCCACUAAAUAUUGCAAAUGCAAC